ACGCUGGCGGUAGGCCUAACACAUGCAAGUCGAACGGCAGCACAGAGGAGCUUGCUCCUUGGGUGGCGAGUGGCGGACGGGUGAGGAAUACAUCGGAAUCUACUUUUUCGUGGGGGAUAACGUAGGGAAACUUACGCUAAUACCGCAUACGACCUACGGGUGAAAGCAGGGGAUCUUCGGACCUUGCGCGAUUGAAUGAGCCGAUGUCGGAUUAGCUAGUUGGCGGGGUAAAGGCCCACCAAGGCGACGAUCCGUAGCUGGUCUGAGAGGAUGAUCAGCCACACUGGAACUGAGACACGGUCCAGACUCCUACGGGAGGCAGCAGUGGGGAAUAUUGGACAAUGGGCGCAAGCCUGAUCCAGCCAUACCGCGUGGGUGAAGAAGGCCUUCGGGUUGUAAAGCCCUUUUGUUGGGAAAGAAAUCCAGCCGGCUAAUACCUGGUUGGGAUGACGGUACCCAAAGAAUAAGCACCGGCUAACUUCGUGCCAGCAGCCGCGGUAAUACGAAGGGUGCAAGCGUUACUCGGAAUUACUGGGCGUAAAGCGUGCGUAGGUGGUUGUUUAAGUCUGUUGUGAAAGCCCUGGGCUCAACCUGGGAACUGCAGUGGAAACUGGACAACUAGAGUGUGGUAGAGGGUAGCGGAAUUCCCGGUGUAGCAGUGAAAUGCGUAGAGAUCGGGAGGAACAUCCAUGGCGAAGGCAGCUACCUGGACCAACACUGACACUGAGGCACGAAAGCG
rnacentral:rRNA from 2 species